CUCACCUCCAAAAAUAAAAAAUAAAACAUACUGUAACUGAGUAACUGACUGAUUAAGAAACACACAAUAGCUCUCAGGUAAAGAUGCAAUCCACAUGUACAUUUUAAAAAGAGACAAGCGAGAUAUGGAUACAAUAUAUCUGCAGCCAUAGAAAGCCAUCUGGGUAUUGGGACACAGCUCAUAGAGGGAAUCUGUGGAGCACUAGGACCAUGCAGAGCCUGCAGUCUGUGUGCUGGAUCAGGAUCCUGUAUGAGCUCUGCAGCAUCUCCUGGCAUCAUCUGUGCAAAUCAGCAGCGAAUACCAGGUGCUUCACAGGCCCCCUGUACAAAGCAUGGCUUAAUGUAACUGCAACCUCUUCAUCAGCACCAGGAGCCAUGGUGAGGCCAUCAAUAAACAGACGGUGAUAAAGGAGAGGAUAGCAGUCAGUAUGGCCCAGAGCAAGCGGCACACAUACAGCCGGGUAAGCACUGUGCAUGCUGUCUGCCUGGUGACAGGUAUAUGCAGCAGAAUGAUGCUCAGGGGUUACAUCAGUGGCAGGUGCCACACAUCCACAUUCUGCAUGUGACGAGGAAGGAUGGUCAAAAGGUAGAUUCCUAUAUUGUAGAACUACAACUCCCAUGAUGCUUUGACAAUUGUUUGGAUAGCAAUGCAU